AUGUGGGUCCCCCGGGGCCCUGGCUGCCUGGCGCCCCCAGCCCCCGCCCUGCCCUCUGUUUCCGCAGCUUGUACAAUAACUGCAUCUGCGACGUGGGAGCCGAGAGCCUGGCGCACGUGCUUCCAGACAUGGUGUCGCUGCGGGUGUUGGAGUGAGCGUGGGCGCCUGGGUGGCAGGCGGCAGGGCCGGGGCCUGGGGAGACCGGGGGGGUCUCGUGAGAGGGGCUGGGCUGAGGUCCGGCUGUCGAGAGCGUGGCGGUGCCUUGGUCGGGGCGGUGUGGUCCCGAGGGCCGGGCCUCAGGACCAUCUCUCUCCCCAGUGUCCAGUACAACAAGUUCACGGCCGCCGGGGCCCAGCAGCUCGCGGCCAGCCUGAGGAAGUGCCCGCACGUGGAGACGCUGGCGAUGUGGACACCCACCAUCCCAUUUGGCGUCCAGGAACACCUCCAGCAGCUGGACUCCCGGAUCAGCCUGAGAUGAUCCCAGCCGUGCCCGGGACAAGCACCUUCUCUGAGGACACUGACCACGCUGGACCUUGGUCUGGUUAUCUGGGGACACAGCUCUUCCUGGCUGUAUCCCAUGAGCCUCGGCGUCCCGGCUCGGCAUCAGCCCCGUCCAGCUGCGGAAGGACCAGGGCCUGCUCUGCGGAUGGACUCGGGCCUGGCUGCAGGCUCCUUCGGGCUCAGGGCGAUGCCAGCCCUGCUCAGCCGCUGCGGCCCUGGCAGACAGGCGGGCGCCUAGUGGCAGCUGCAGUCCCCUAG
rnacentral:lncRNA from 1 species